CAUCCAGCAGAAAAAAUUACAGAGCCUCCUGCAACCUUGUCUUCACAUUCUCCAUCCAACACCCAACGUGGGUCAGAAACACAAGGAGAAAGGAAAUCCUCUGGAAUAGCAGAUGAACAGUCUUCUGUGAAUAAAACAAGAAGUAUAGAGGAGAUGCUAGCUGAGUCUAUGAAUCAUCAAUCAAGGAAGUAUGGCUUUCAGCAGAGCAAAGAUCUACUAAUGAAGACGACCGGAAACGAAACCAGUGUGCGAGGAGAAGUGACUGCAAAUGCCACCAAUGAAUCUCUACAGAAAUUGGAGAAUGAAGAUCCUGAUUGGGUGGAAACUUGUAAGGCAUUCUAUGAAUGUUUUGGAUGGAGACCUGUCACUCUGAGCUGAUGCUCACCUUUCAUUCUCCUGCGAUGAAACUAUCCCCCAAAUGUGUCCCUAUGUGGUGUCCUCAGUACAGAAUCACACUUCAAAAUAUGGUACCUUUGGGGGCAUGUCCUAAGUCCUGCCUCCUCCUAGGAGGAUUCUGUAGGUUAGUGGCAGAGCACCUGUUUGGUACCCUUUCAAUCCGUGUCAUAAAUCUUUUAAAAAAGAAUCAGGCCCCUGGUGCUGAGAAAUAUCUGCUUGAGGGUCAAACAAACUGAAACGGCAGCUUUUUAUUUAAAGUGACAGCAUGUUGCUCAUCCCACAAUUGCGUGCCUGAGCCACCAGACCUGCAAAUGAAGCUUGUUUGCUUCCCAGUGACCAAUCACCAAACAAAGCAAGUGAAUUUACAGAAUGAGAGAAGCUUGUGCUGCAAUAAUCAGAUUAAUAUCAAUAGUUAAGAGAGUCACCCUCUAAACGUGAAGCUGCUGUUUCAUCUACUUUGACCUCAGACUCCAGGUAGCUGCUGCCAGAGAGAUGAACAAACAGAGUUUCCUUGUGUAAGGUAGCUUCCUCUCUUUCGUGUGCAGAAAGAUUCCUGACAUCUGUUGCCACCCUUGCCAGGAAAGCAUCUUGGAUAACAGGGCAGUGAAAGACAGUUGCCUGACACCCAGAAGAUCUGCUGCCAGUCAGAGCUGGAGAAACUAGUCUGGGGAUAAUCUCCAGUGGAAAAGGGCUACAAAGGGAGGAAUCAGUCAAACUGUAGCCUCAGCAGUUGCAUUGCAUAAAAAAAGAGAGGAUGUGACCAAAACAAUUACAGAUUCACACAGAAUGAGUACUGUACUUCUAUGCCAAGUCCUCCACAUAAAUAUGGCGGAAUUAAAUUAAUUUAAUGAAACAGAAGCCAGCUGGUAUCUAAACAUUUCAGUUUAAUCUUUUUAUAUUGACACAGAGCAGUUCAUGGAAUGGAAAGAGGUAAAUUUCAUGGUUUUUAUUUAUGUUCUUGACAAUUUAGACAUACAAGACCAGAUGUAUAAGCCAAAGAAAAAAACAUGCUGUGCAAUUCAUACUAUAUAGCUGGUUGCCAUGCGUGGAAUGGUUGAUUGGCUUUGUUUCUUUUUCCUGCUUCUGCUCUGUUUGCCCCACCCUGUUUUUGUUUUCUGUGUGCACUCCAAUUCAGUAGCAAUGCAGUUCUGUAUUUUGACUU